rnacentral:rRNA from 1 species
GCUACGGGGGGCAGCAGUGGGGAAUAUUGCACAAUGGGGGAAACCCUGAUGCAGCGAUGCCGCGUGGAGGAAGAAGGUUUUCGGAUUGUAAACUCCUUUUAUCAGGGACGAUAAUGACGGUACCUGAAGAAAAAGCUCCGGCUAACUACGUGCCAGCAGCCGCGGUAAUACGUAGGGAGCGAGCGUUGUCCGGAAUUACUGGGUGUAAAGGGAGCGUAGGCGGGACGGCAAGUCAGAUGUGAAAACUGAGGGCUCAACUUUCAGACUGCAUUUGAAACUGCUGUUCUUGAGUGAAGUAGAGGUAAGCGGAAUUCCUAGUGUAGCGGUGAAAUGCGUAGAUAUUAGGAGGAACAUCGGUGGCGAAGGCAGCUUACUAAACUGCCACUGACAUUGAUGCUCGAAAGUGUGGGUAUCAAACAGGAUUAGAUACCCGAGUAGUC